rnacentral:rRNA from 1 species
UACGGAGGGUGCAAGCGUUAUCCGGAUUCACUGGGUUUAAAGGGUGCGUAGGUGGGCAGUUAAGUCAGUGGUGAAAUCUCCGGGCUCAACCCGGAAACUGCCAUUGAUACUAUCUGUCUUGAAUAUCGUGGAGGUAAGCGGAAUAUGUCAUGUAGCGGUGAAAUGCUUAGAUAUGACAUAGAACACCAAUUGCGAAGGCAGCUUACUAGCCGAAUAUUGACACUGAGGCACGAAAGCGGGGGGAGCAAACAGG